GACUGCGUCAGCACUGAAAACCCUACUGUGGUUGGCGCUUGUGGGAAAAAAAUAAUAGAUUACGGUAGAUUGUAAUCUUUACUCGCACACUGUGCUCGUAAAUCAUUUUUCCGGUUCGCACAAAUCAAUUUAAGGGCAAAUGCGAGUGAAAUACUCGCAUUGUAGAGCCCUGGAUACCUUUUACAGAAUGGUCUGAGUUGUUAUGAUACGCUGUUUAAACCCACAUUGGGGCGAGGAGAGUAAUAGUUUACUCCAGCAGACGAUGGAGGUGGAGAGAAUAGAUUACGACAUUGGAGGGGUGCUACUUCACAGCCUGAGUGGGGGACACAGGAUCUGGUGGGUAAGCAUGGGACCAGUCCCAAAUGGCACCCUGUUCUCUAUGUAGUGCCCUACUGUUGACCAGUGCCCAUAGGGAUAUGGGACUCUACUCAAAAGUAGUGCACUUUAUAGGGCAAAUUUUGUAAUUUGAGAUGCAGACAUGGGCUCUAGCAUAAUUUGGAAAGAAUAGAGGUCAGUGACCAGUAAUAAGGGCCAGUUUCCCAGACACAGAUUAAGCCUAGUCCUGGACUAAACAACACAGUCAAUGGAGAAUCUCCAUUGAAAUAGCUUUGUAGUCCAGGACUGAACAUAUUAUCUGGGUCUGGGAAACUGGCCCUGAUGGUGUGUAGUCGCGCUCUUCAGAGAAAUGUCCUUUAUGCUGAUAGGAAACGUCUAGUCAUCUAGGCAGCAUAACAUAAUUGGCGAUGAUGAGUUUGCUGACUGUUUGUGCGGUCAUUGUUCCAGGGCUCAGUUCCAAGCUGUGUGAGGAGAUCCGUGACACGUUUCGGUCACAUUUUGACUGGAUCAGUGACGCUGCACCAAAGUGCAGAGAAUCCCGUUCAACACUACAGCACACUGCUGAGUUUUAAUACUAAACACAGAAGGAAUACCAAAUGUCUUGUUUUGAGUCAGACCUGGGCCUGUAUUCAUAAAGCUUUAGUAGGACUGCUGAUCUAGGAUCAGGGCCUCCCUGUCCAUAAUAAUCUGAUUCAACAUCAAAUGAUAUUUUAUUGGUCGCAUACACAUAUUUAGUAGAUGUUAUUGCAGGUGUAGGUAAAUGCGUGUGUUCCUAGCUCCCAGCAGUUCAGUAAUAUCUAGCUGUAAAGACAUUAAGGACAGUAUGUGGAUAGAAUAUUUAGUAUAUCUAGAAUACGUAGGAUAGAAUAGUGACUAUGAUAUAAAAGGCUAAACUGAUCCUAGAUCAGCACUCUGAGAAGUUUUAUGAAUAUGGGCCCGGGGCCUCGCCUGCCUUCAGGUCUGCUGACAAUGUGCUCCUGUUUCAUAAUGACCAGGCCCUGACCCUGAGCCCAGGCCCUACAGAGGGCGCUCAUGAGCACAUCAUCAUCCUCUCUCUCUCUGUUGUUCCACCAGCAGCAGAAUCCCUCUCUGUGAUGAAUACACACAUCACCUCACGCAUGGCUGGACUACUGCUGCCUGUCCACAGCCUCACCACAGUCAGUGUAAAUUGCUGAUGUUGGUGGUUUCCUCCAGUGGCCUGAGUUGAGGUGUGGAGCCCUUGGAACUGAUUAGGUCUGUGUGCCCUUUACCUGCAGCCAGACUCCUUCACCCCUCAGGCUUGUUCCAGAUGUGCCAUUACAAACGCUUGUAUGAUGUCCAUCUGAAAGACUUCCUGGAAAAUCGCAUGUCUUUAUUACAUUGUAAUUACAUGUUGAGAAGACUCGCUGGGAAUCCUUGGCCAGCUGCACCCUCUCACCUGUUCCACAGCUUUCCCCCACAGGGAAAUCUGUAUCCUUCAAACUAUUGUCCAGAUUCAACUCCAAUUGCCGUUUUUAAGAUCAAUGGUGAUGUUUUGUUAAGGCAAAUUUGCCCUGAAAUCAAUAGGCCUGUGUUUGGAUAUCUCUCACACCCAAGUCAGACUGUUCUCUCUACUACCACACGGCAAGUGGUACCAAUGCACCAAGUCUGGAACCAACAGCACCCUGAACAGCUUCAACCCGCAAGCCAUAAGACUGCUAAAUAGCUAAUCAAAUGGCUCCCUGCAUUGACCCUAUUUUGCACAAACUCUCUUGCACUGACUCUAUACACACAUACUGGACUCUACCCACACGCUCACACAUACUGAACUCUACUCACACAUACUUACACUGACACCCCAACACACACACCACAUA